AGUGAACGCUGGCGGUAGGCCUAACACAUGCAAGUCGAACGGCAGCACAGUAAGAGCUUGCUCUUACGGGUGGCGAGUGGCGGACGGGUGAGGAAUACAUCGGAAUCUACUUUUUCGUGGGGGAUAACGUAGGGAAACUUACGCUAAUACCGCAUACGACCUACGGGUGAAAGCAGGGGAUCUUCGGACCUUGCGCGAUUGAAUGAGCCGAUGUCGGAUUAGCUAGUUGGCGGGGUAAAGGCCCACCAAGGCGACGAUCCGUAGCUGGUCUGAGAGGAUGAUCAGCCACACUGGAACUGAGACACGGUCCAGACUCCUACGGGAGGCAGCAGUGGGGAAUAUUGGACAAUGGGCGCAAGCCUGAUCCAGCCAUACCGCGUGGGUGAAGAAGGCCUUCGGGUUGUAAAGCCCUUUUGUUGGGAAAGAAAAGCAGCAGGUUAAUACCCCGCGGUUCUGACGGUACCGAAAGAAUAAGCACCGGCUAACUUCGUG
rnacentral:rRNA from 1 species